rnacentral:rRNA from 1 species
GGACCAAGGAGUCUAGCAUGUGCGCGAGUCAUUGGGACUCGAAUGAAACCUAAAGGCGUAAUGAAAGUGAAGGUUCGCCUUGCGCGAACCUAGGGAGGAUGGUCGAUCGUUCGAGGUCGUCCCGCACUCCCUGGGCGUCUCGUUCUCACUGCGAGAAGAGGCGCACCAAGAGCGUACACGCUGGGACCCGAAAGAUGGUGAACUAUGCCUGGUCAGGACGAAGUCAGGGGAAACCCUGAUGGAGGUCCGUAGCGAUUCUGACGUGCAAAUCGAUCGUCGGAACUGGGUAUAGGGGCGAAAGACUAAUCGAACCAUCUAGUAGCUGGUUCCCUCCGAAGUUUCCCUCAGGAUAGCUGGCGCUCGCUUCUCGCGAGUCUCAUUCGGUAAAGCGAAUGAUUAGAGGCAUUGGGGUCGAAACGGCCUCAACCUAUUCUCAAACUUUAAAUGGGUGAGAUCUCCGGCUUGCUUGAACUGUGAAGCCGCGAGAUAUCGGAUCAGAGUGCCAAGUGGGCCACUUUUGGUAAGCAGAACUGGCGCUGUGGGAUGAACCAAACGCCGAGUUAAAGCGCCUAAAUCGACGCUUAUGGGAUACCAUGAAAGGCGUUGGUAACUUAUGACAGCAGGACGGUGGCCAUGGAAGUCGGA